rnacentral:tRNA from 1 species
GCCUCGGUGGUCUAAUGGCUUAGAACGUAUGGAAUACAAGAGAUCCGGGUUCGACUCCCGGCCGAGAUA